CCCCCUCGACAUGAAACGUCGGCAUCCGACGAAGCAACCAGAGGCGGUGGCCGUCGCCGUCGUCGUGCUGUGCAGGCCGACACCAACAGGGCUGCAUGGAGUCCAGAACAUACCCAAGCCUUUUGCCGUAUUUACUGCAGCCAAAUCGAUAAUGGAAACUGCGUGAGGGGUGUGAUGAACAAGGAUGGGUGGAAAGAGAUCCAGCCUAGAUUCUAUGCCGCCACUGGGUUUUGGCAUGACAGAGCGCAGUUUGGGAACAGAUAUAGGCAGCUCAGGGGUUUGUGGCAGUUCAUACAGCAACUGCGCACUGAUUCAGGGCUUGGCCGCCGACCGGAUGGAUCUGUUGUUGCCACGGAGGCUUGGUGGAAAGCGAACACAAUGGGCCAUCCUGAGUGGAAAAAACUGCAGUCCGGUUGGCCUAUUUACGUUGACGAGAUGGACCGCAUGUUCAUGGGUGUUGCCG